AUUGGUAUUCUUGAUCUUUCUUAUUUUAAAUCUAUUUUUUAACAGAUGAUGAUAGUUGUUCUUUGUUAUUUUAGAGUCUACUUUCUCUUCGGAAUUGGAUUGGAAACUUUUGAUCUGUAUGUCUUGGAGAAGUGGUGAUCUAUUAUGUAGUUUUUGUUUGCUCGAGUUCUGAAAGUCUCUGACCACAUAUUCAGGAUGGGGCUGGACUGGAAUUUUGAAGAUCUCUAGGCAUUUUGUAGUUUUGAUUUAAGUUUGUCUUCAGCUGACUGUCUUCAGGGAGCAGUGAGAUAGAAAUUGUUGAGUUCUCUCUUUAGAGGUUUAAGUUUUGCCGGGUUUGAGAAGUGGUGAUCUAUUGUGUUCUUCUGUAGGGCUGAGUUGAUGAUUGUUUGAAAUUGGACAAGCAGCUGCUUUGUGGAUUCUAGGCAGUUAUUGGUUUGAAUGAAGGAUUGUUUAUGAAUCUGGAAAGCUUGGGAUCCUCAAAGUUAUGGCUUGUUUCUAUCCUUGUAAUGCAUGCUGCAUUAACUAAAGUGAUUGGUGGUAAAUCAUGGAGAUAUUGCAAGUGUAAUUUAUUUGCGAAUGCUACCUUCAUACAAUUUACUUAGCUUAGGGUUUCAU